rnacentral:rRNA from 1 species
AGAGUGAACGCUGGCGGCAGGCCUAACACAUGCAAGUCGAACGGCAGCACAGCAGUAGCAAUACUGUGGGUGGCGAGUGGCGGACGGGUGAGGAAUACAUCGGAAUCUACCUUGUCGUGGGGGAUAACGUAGGGAAACUUACGCUAAUACCGCAUACGAACUACGGUUGAAAGCGGCGGACCGCAAGGCGUCGCGCGAUUGGAUGAGCCGAUGUCCGAUUAGCUAGUUGGCGGGGUAAAGGCCCACCAAGGCGACGAUCGGUAGCUGGUCUGAGAGGAUGAUCAGCCACACUGGAACUGAGACGCGGUCCAGACUCCACGGGAGGCAGCAGUGGGGAAUAUUGGACAAUGGGCGCAAGCCUGAUCCAGCCAUGCCGCGUGUGUGAAGAAGGCCGUUCGGUUGUAAAGCUACGUUUUGUACCGAAAGUAACGUCCUGUACGGUUAAC